rnacentral:rRNA from 1 species
UACGUAGGGUGCGAGCGUUGUCCGGAAUUAUUGGGCGUAAAGGGCUCGUAGGCGGUUUGUCGCGUCGGGAGUGAAAUCCACUGGCUUAACUGGUGGCUUGCUUUCGAUACGGGCAGACUGGAGGUAUGCAGGGGAGAACGGAAUUCCUGGUGUAGCGGUGAAAUGCGCAGAUAUCAGGAGGAACACCGGUGGCGAAGGCGGCAUCCUGGACCAACACUGACACUGAGGAGCGAAAGCCAGGGGAGCAAACGGG